UUUCUGUAAUUCCUCCGCCUUUCAAUCGCCAUAGUUGCACAUAAUAAUCUCAAUCAAUUGGUUGUUGUUAAGGGAUUUCCUGUAAUUGAUCCCCGAUCCUGACCUUUUUGUUCCUCAAUUAGAUGCCUGUUGAUUUCAAUUUCAGUUUCUAAUGUUUCUCAGGGGUUUGGUACUAGGUUCAAUUUGGAUUAGGGUUAGGGUUUGAAUCAGAGGGGUCGGUUGGAUUUGGGGUUUAUGUGAUAUUUUUAGCUGUUUCUAUGGAUUUGCAUUGAUGGUAAACAGAUUAUGUUAUUGAUAUUAAGAUCUUGAUGGUGUAUAAGGAUCCAUCAUUUUGGUGAUGAUCUGGACAAUUAGUACAUGGCUUUAAGCAUGAUCUCCAGUUGAUUGUGUGGCUUUUCAAUCCUUAAAUAUGUUAGAUCCUCUAAUGAUACGGGGAAGCAUCUGAUGAGGAUCUUUACUCACAUGGAUGUU
rnacentral:lncRNA from 1 species